AGAACGAACGCUGGCGGCAUGCCUAAUACAUGCAAGUCGAACGAACUCUUCGGAGUUAGUGGCGCACGGGUGCGUAACGCGUGGGAAUCUGCCCCUUGGUUCGGAAUAACAGUUGGAAACGACUGCUAAUACCGGAUGAUGACGAAAGUCCAAAGAUUUAUCGCCAAGGGAUGAGCCCGCGUAGGAUUAGCUAGUUGGUGAGGUAAAGGCUCACCAAGGCAACGAUCCUUAGCUGGUCUGAGAGGAUGAUCAGCCACACUGGGACUGAGACACGGCCCAGACUCCUACGGGAGGCAGCAGUAGGGAAUAUUGGACAAUGGGCGAAAGCCUGAUCCAGCAAUGCCGCGUGAGUGAUGAAGGCCUUAGGGUUGUAAAGCUCUUUUACCCGAGAUGAUAAUGACAGUAUCGGAGAAUAAGCUCCGGACUAACGUCCGACGCCAAGCGAGCCGCGU
rnacentral:rRNA from 1 species